CCACCUCCUCCUCCUGCUCCUCCCCCCCACCCCAUCCCCUUCUCAGCUGCGGCUAAAACCAUGGAGUCUUGGGGAAAAAAGGAAAAAAAAAAAAAAAAGCUCAGCUGUGGAGACUGAUCAAACCGGGCAUGCUCAGUA
rnacentral:sRNA from 1 species